AGAAUCAACGCUGGCGGCGUGCCUAACACAUGCAAGUCGAACGAGAAAGUGGAGCAAUCCAUGAGUACAGUGGCGCACGGGUGAGUAACACGUGACUACCUACCCUCGAGUGGGGAAUAACCUCGGGAAACCGGGGCUAAUACCGCAUAACAUCUACGGAUCAAAUGCGAAAGCAGCUUGAGGAGGGGGUCGCGGCCGAUUAGCUAGUUGGUGAGGUAAUGGCCCACCAAGGCAAUGAUCGGUAGCCGGCCUGAGAGGGCGCACGGCCACACUGGAACUGAAACACGGUCCAGACUCCUACGGGAGGCAGCAGUGGGGAAUUUUGCGCAAUGGGGGAAACCCUGACGCAGCAACGCCGCGUGGAGGAUGAAGCCCCUUGGGGUGUAAACUCCUUUCGAUCGGGACGAUUAUGACGGUACCGGAAGAAGAAGCACCGGCUAACUCUGCGCCAGCAGCCGC
rnacentral:rRNA from 1 species